rnacentral:rRNA from 1 species
CUAACGAGGAACGAUCGGAGGGCAAGUCUGGUGCCAGCAGCCGCGGUAAUUCCAGCUCCAAUAGCGUACGUUAAAGUUGCUGCAGUUAAAAAGCUCGUAGUUGAACGUUCGGGUUCCGCGGGACGGGGCCGCCCCGCGAGGGACGGCGCCGCCCCGGGGCUCGUGAUAUCUUAUCUCGCCGCCCGUCGCGAGGCGGACGGAGGGAUGGAUGAGGUUACCUGGAAAAAAUCGGGGCGAUCUAGGCGGGCGAACCUCGCCAACGAACGAUCGGACAUGGGAUAACGGAAGAGGGGCGUCGGCUCGACUUCGUCGGUUCCUCGGGCCGAGGCACGUACGGUGAAUAGGGACGGUCGGGGCCGCCCGUACCGGGUCGUGAGAGGUGAAAUUCUAGGAUCGACCCGAGACGAACUGCCGCGAAAGCAUUCGGCAAGGACGCUUCAUUAAUCAAGAACGAAAGUCGGGGGAUCGAAGACGAUCAGAUACCGUCGUAGUCCCGACCGUAAACGA